ensembl:lncRNA
CUUUCUGUAAUAUCUCUCGUUGCGCCUUGACACCGAUCCAUUAGACUGAUCUAAGGAGUUUCACAUUGCGAGAGUAGUCUGUUAAAGCGUAGGAGCAGGAAACUUCGCUUCUCUUAAGAUAAGACCUCACACACCUCUCAGGAAGGAUUUACAGAGAGAGACACAUGUUGUACAUAUUAGGGAUUACCAUUGGCCUCAUUUGCAUCAUUAUAUGCAUUUCAAAUGGCCUAAAAGAGAGAAAUGCUUUGAUGCGCAGAAAUAAAGGUGGAAAUCCUCAAAAUCCUGAACACAAGGAAGCCAACAAGAAAAAGUUAACUGAACAAGACUAUCACUUGUUGGCCAAAGUCCUGUCAGUUGGAUUGGUAGACGCAGACCCCAAUUAUCUUCAACACCUCAAGAACUACAGGGACCUGCGUGGUAGCACUUCCUGAAGGAUCCACACACCAGGAAAUGCACCAGGAAAUAUUUUGCGAUGACGUAGUGUCCCCAUGAAUGACAGAACACUGAGCCAAUCACAGCACAACUAGAGAUGACCAACCUCUACGCUCUUUAUUUUCCGCUGGCUGCCCCUCCACCUCAGAAAGCACUGAGCUAGGCUGAAACACCUGCAUUUUGGAGCUGCCUUAAGAAAGCAAAAAAGAGACAUAUUCGUAUGUGGCUUUAUUAACUCAAUCAUAUUUUUUGCAAACUGAUAUGUGACACAUAUUAAUUCCAAAAUAAAAUGCAAAACAGGCACUUUUUUUUAGCUAAACAGGUGGGGCUCACCCUGAAUGAUGUGUUGCCACUGUUAACAGUACUGUGGUUCCCACGACCACUCCCGGACCAUCCGUAUUGCUAUGUCCUGACAUAUUUAACGAGGUUCUCCUCACUGUCCUCAAACUGCUCGCUUUCACCCCAUUCACCAUUCACGGCCCAGUCAUUGCCCAGCCACCUUCAGACUUGAAUUUGUGAAAAAAGACACCUGCAGAUCACAGUUGGCUAAUCCACAAGUUUGAAACACGCCGCCGUUCCAAAACUCAGCCUCCUCUUUUUUCAAGCCAGGCUAAAAUCAACAACACAUACAUACAUUUGUAUCUGACUAAUAAAUGACCUUACUUACCAGACCAAGUAUGCCAAGCCCAAGACUCCUAAAGGCCGCUACAUACUUCGCGCAAACAGAGCGACCUCGUAUAAUUUGAGCCACACAAAUGUAUGUAGAACUAAGUGUGAAAUCUACGCUCUGUCGCUGUGUUUGAGUAGUUUACUGAAGUGUGUAGGGUCACUAAGGCAGCUAAGCCAUUUUUUGGUACAUGACGUUGAAGCAAUAUCUCCCCAAGUAAGGUAGGCAUAACAACGGUGUGCUACAAAAAAACAUUGUAAAUACAUGUUACAAUAUGUACUGUUUUAACAGCCAACUUCCACAUUCACAACUUUUACAUUCACAAUCAUAUGUCUGUAAUUUAAAUGUACUGACCAUAGCAUGGCUCAUUCAGAGAGGAAAGAAGGCAUUUACCUAUUCUGGGUAGACAAGGUACCUGUCAUAGGAAAAAAUCAUCCAGAAAAGCAGCACCACAAAAUGAACAUUUUGACAGACAGAAUUAAAGAAAAAUGGCAGUAAAUCUAGUAGAAUGAGAUACUGUAUUACUAUCUCCCUAUGAUAAGGGAGAUUCCACGUUGGUGGUACUGUAUAUCAAGUAACAAUAUUUCACAUUAUUUCAAUCAUGCCUUCUCACCAUUCCUACAGGGAAGGCGAGGACAGAAAAGGUUAGGUAUUUCCAAUUGUAAAGACCCUUGGUUAAGUUUUUCCCUGUCUAAAGAUCAUUCACCACAAACAUCCCAAAUAACACCAUCUGCAAAACUUAAAUAUUGCACACAGAAGUUUCUUGGUUGUUACAUGUAUCAUGAAUAUACACGUACAGUAAAUUAUACAACAAAACUCAUACAGCCUCACAUGCCCUUGGAUAUACAGUUGAAGUCAGAAGUUUACAUACACUUAGGUUGGAGUCAUUAAAACUCGUUUUUCAACCACUCCACAAAUUUCUUGUUUACAAACUAUAGUUUCGUCAAGUCGGUUAGGACAUUUACUUUGUGCAUGACACAAGUAAUUUUUCCAACAAUUCUUAACAGACAGAUAAUUUCACUUGUAAUUCACUGAAUCACAAUUCCAGUGGGUCAGAAAUUUACAUACACUAAGUUGACUGUGCCUUCAAACAGCUUGGAAAAUGCCAGACAAUUAUGUCAUAGCUUUAGAAGCUUCUGA